CGGAGGGUGCAAGCGUUAUCCGGAUUCACUGGGUUUAAAGGGUGCGUAGGAGGGCGGAUAAGUCAGUGGUGAAAUCUUCGAGCUUAACUCGGAAACUGCCGUUGAUACUAUUUGUCUUGAAUAUCGUGGAGGUGAGCGGAAUAUGUCAUGUAGCGGUGAAAUGCUUAGAUAUGACAUAGAACACCAAUUGCGAAGGCAGCUCGCUACACGAAUAUUGACUCUGAGGCACGAAAGCGUGGGGAUCAAACAGGAUU
rnacentral:rRNA from 1 species